UGAAGGCUACAGCCAAUUAUAUCAUUUUUCAGGGUUAACCUCAUAUUUUGUGUGUAAUCUGUAAAGCUUGUAGAAACAAUAGCUUGUAGCCGUAUUAGCUUGUUUGCUUACUCAAUAAAUCCAACUGUCAUAUCGGUUUUGUUCGUUGAAACAGUUUUGAUGAACUAAGAAAGCAACGUUAAAUGAAACCAUCAGAAUCGAACCCUCACGGUGGCCCCUUCACGUACGAGCUGCAGUUAAACACAUCAUCAGUCGUUUAUAUUCAUAAUCAUCACAGUGAAACAAGGGUUGAGUUGCUACUUGUUAAGUUCUCACUUCCAACCACGUUAUCACUCAUGAGAGGAAAAGGGUGGGUGCAUUUUUCCUAAUGCCCAUCCUGUGCAAUCAUUUUAAUGGCCUUUGUUCUGCAACAAGCUGAAAACUGUUAAACAUGAUGAUAUAAUUUUUCCAAAUUUCGUUUAAUCACACGCUGAGACGCUCUCCGGGCGAUGAUGUGUUAAACUCCACCUCGUACGUGGAGGGCCACAGUGAGGCUGGGAUUCUGAUGGUUUCAUUUUGGAUCACUUUCCCAGUUUGUAAAUUUCCAGGAUUGUUUUUUCUAGGGUUGGAUUCUAAUUAUUCCUUUUUUUGUCUCCUGUCUUUCAUUUCAUAAGCAAAGAGCAAGUUUAGAUUAGAAAACAUUCAAUGUCAUUGUCAAUUAUAAACUGAAAAUAGUAACUUAAGGUCAUUUAUAUUAUUUAUAAAUGUUUGAUACCGAUAAACUCAACAAGGAGUUAGAAAGGAUUUUACACGUGUUCCAACCCGUGUCCAAACAAGUUCACUUAUUUCAUUACAGAGAAAUCAAUAACGUUAGCUUGUGCUGAGUUAGCGCCUGGAGCGCUGCGUACCAAGUGGGUUCUGUCACUGCAGUAGGAGACUGAAAAUACUGUUUGCAUUAAACUUUAAUCUACCUCUAAUUUACCUCUAUACGCUCACUCCUCAGCUCAACUUGUCAGAUUCGCCUGCGGGGCAUCGCGCCGCUAAACGAGGAGUGAAGUCAGAGUCUGAAAACAUCUCAUCUGUGGAUCCCACAACAGAGUGUGCGGGGAGAUGAAGACACUCGACAGAGACAGGGAGUGUGGAGUCGGGACAAGGAGGCCCUGCAGUCACAAACAUGGAGACGCACCGAGGGGAACCGAACAAGGUAUAAACUUGUAAAGCUGCCUGUCAGGGAGAAGCAGGAGCGUCAGACGGGGAAGCUCGGUGUCGGGCUGCCUGAGGUGGACACAGCUUGUUUGAAUGGGAGUCGUGAGGGACUGUGAAUGAACCACAACUCAAACAGCACAUUGUUCCCUGACACUGCUCAUUAGUGGCUGCUUGUUGGCACCGCUGCUCGGAUUCUCUGCAGUUAUGCAUCCUAUGCAAAUCAUAACUCGUAAUGGAUUGUCUGGAAUCUACGACUGGAAUCUUCGAACAGAUGUAUUAAAAAAAACAAAAAAAAAAACUGCUGUUGACUUUUUGAACCCGUUAGCGCAGAGUCCCGGCUGAUAGACGCUACAGAGGCAGAGCGGGUUUAUAAACUCAUUACCCUCUCAGCUGCAGGUUCCCGCCUUUAUCAAUCUAAUAGUUUUAUGUAUUUUUGCUUUUACAUUUUACAUUUUCACCCAAGCAAAGAGCCAUGUGGUUUCAUGUCAAUACUUAUUUUUUUCCAGGCUGAAUUGUAUGAAAACUGGCUUCAAACUUCAGGUCAGAUCUUGUUAUACAUGUAUUAUUAUAUUUCUCAAUUUGAUAUAUUAGAAAUUGUAUAUUGUAUUUUGUAUUUUGUACAAGUAAUGAAAUUCAAAUUUCAAAGAU